rnacentral:rRNA from 1 species
UACGGAGGGUGCGAGCGUUGUCCGGAAUCACUGGGCGUAAAGGGCGCGUAGGCGGUCUGUUAAGCGUGUGGUGAAAGCUCGGGGCUCAACCCCGAGUCUGCCAUGCGAACUGGUGGACUUGAGCACUGUAGAGGCAGGUGGAAUUCCGGGUGUAGCGGUGGAAUGCGUAGAUAUCGGGAGGAACACCAGUGGCGAAGGCGGUUGCCUGGAGCUUUGCUGACGCUGAUGCGCGAAAGCGUGGGGAGCGAUCCGG